GUGGGGAAUCUUCCGCAAUGGACGAAAGUCUGACGGAGCAACGCCGCGUGAACGAUGACGGCCUUCGGGUUGUAAAGUUCUGUUAUACGGGACGAAUGGUACGACGGUCAAUACCCGUCGUAAGUGACGGUACCGUAAGAGAAAGCCACGGCUAACUACGUGCCAGCAGCCGCGGUAAUACGUAGGUGGCAAGCGUUGUCCGGAAUUAUUGGGCGUAAAGGGCGCGCAGGCGGCGUCGUAAGUCGGUCUUAAAAGUGCGGGGCUUAACCCCGUGAGGGGACCGAAACUGCGAUGCUAGAGUAUCGGAGAGGAAAGCGGAAUUCCUAGUGUAGCGGUGAAAUGCGUAGAUAUUAGGAGGAACACCAGUGGCGAAAGCGGCUUUCUGGACGACAACUGACGCUGAGGCGCGAAAGCCAGGGGAGCAAACGGGAUUAGAAACCCUUGUAGUCC
rnacentral:rRNA from 1 species